GAACUCACUUACAUUUCCAACAGUAUAAAUAGUAUAGGCAAAACAUCCAGUUAUAUAUGUUAAAACAAGGAAACCAAACCCAACAAGUUUAUAAUCUGAAACAUCCACACAAGCGUAAUGAGUCGAUGGUAUAAUAGAGACAUCAAUUGUUUGCAAAGCCAGAGGUCGAAACGUAUAACCUGGGCAUAUAAGGGCAUACAAAACAAUUUCAAAUUGUCAUUUAUCACAGGAAAGCCUGAGAUUCAGAGCUAAAGAGAAGGGGAAAAAAAAAAAAAAACCACCUAAUAAAAGAGAGAUGACAAGCACACAACAUGAGACAUUCCUCAAAAAAAGUUAUGAUCCCACAAUAGUCUAUACUCCACAUCAUGUCCUGUAUUUAACAAUCACAAAACCUCAAACUAAUCUAGAACUUGAAUUCUCAAUUGCAACUAGGCCUGGGCAAAAUACCCGAACCUGAAGAAUCAAACCAAACCCGACCCAAAAAAUCCGAUUCGAAUCCGAACCCAAAAUUUUAAAAUACCCGAAUGGAUCCUAAACUUCAAAACCCAAAAACCAGAUCCGAACCUGAACCCGAUCAAGUACCCGAACAUAUCCAAAAUAUAUAUAUAA
rnacentral:sRNA from 1 species